GAUGAAGAACGUAGCGAAAUGCGAUACGUAAUGUGAAUUGCAGAAUUCAGUGAAUCAUCGAAUCUUUGAACGCAUAUUGCGCUCUCUGGUAUUCCGGAGAGCAUGCUUGUUUGAGUAUCAGUAAACACCUCAACUUCCAUAUCUUUUUUGAAAUGGGAGUUGGACUUGAGUGAUCCCAACGCUUUUCCUCACCGAAAAGUGGCGGGUUACUUGAAAUGCAGGUGCAGCUGGACUUUUCUCUGAGCUAUAAGCAUAUCUAUUUAGUCUGCCUAAAAACAGAUUAUUACCUUUGAUGCAGCUAACAUAAAGGAGAUUAGUUCUUGUGCUGACUGAUGCAGGAUUCACAAAGACAGGCUUCGGCCGACUUUGUAAACUCGAUCUCAAAUCAAGUAAGACUACCCGCUGAACUUAAGCAUAUCAAUAAGCGGAGGA
rnacentral:misc_RNA from 1 species